rnacentral:rRNA from 1 species
ACGGCGAGUGAAGCGGUAACAGCUCAAAUUUGAAAUCUGGCCUCACGGUCCGAGUUGUAAUUUGUAGAGGAUGCUUCGAGCAUGGUCUGGCCUAAGUUCCUUGGAACAGGACGUCAUAGAGGGUGAGAAUCCCGUAUGCGGCCAGGUGCCUACGCUCAUGUGAAGCUCCUUCGACGAGUCGAGUUGUUUGGGAAUGCAGCUCAAAAUGGGUGGUAAAUUUCAUCUAAAGCUAAAUAUUGGCCAGAGACCGAUAGCGCACAAGUAGAGUGAUCGAAAGAUGAAAAGCACUUUGGAAAGAGAGUUAAACAGUACGUGAAAUUGUUGAAAGGGAAGCGCUUGCAACCAGACUUGCGCGCGGCCGAUCAUCCGGUGUUCUCACCGGUGCACUCGGCCGUGCUCAGGCCAGCAUCGGUUUUGGCGGCUGGAUAAAGGCCCUAGGAAUGUAGCUCCUCUCGGGGAGUGUUAUAGUCUAGGGUGCAAUGCAGCCUGCUGGGACCGAGGACCGCGCU